CAUGUUGUCCAACCACCAGAUUUUCACAAGUGCCUUUCCUGUUCAUUAUAGUCCUCCAAAUGGUUUCCAUUUUGAAGUCAAUGAUGAAUCUUCACCUAUGCAGCCGCUUAGGUAUUGUUGACAAUGAUGUCGUCGAGCUAAAUUAUCUACAACGACAGGGAGUUGUGCUGGCUAAAAGUUUGGCUGCCAAGGAACCAUCUGCAUGCUGGAAUUUCUCACUAUCUUUUUAGCGAAUUCUACCCUCUCCUUCUUCCCAUUCUCCGCUUCCUCUUCUGUAUAGAGAGAGAUGGCUUGGAGGUGCCUUCUCACACAGGUCAGAUUCGUCAUCUGAAUAGCUUUAUUUUUUUGAAUUUGUUCAAUGGUUUUUUUUUUUUUUUUCCUUCAUCUUGAAUCUCAAACC